rnacentral:rRNA from 1 species
UACGGGGGGGGCAAGCGUUGUUCGGAAUUACUGGGCGUAAAGGGCGCGUAGGCGGUUUGCUAAGUUGAAUGUGAAAACUCUGGGCUUAACCCAGAGCCUGCAUUCAAUACUGGCAGGCUAGAGUUCUGGAGGGGAUAGCGGAAUUCCUGGUGUAGCGGUGAAAUGCGUAGAUAUCAGGAGGAACACCGGUGGCGAAGGCGGCUAUCUGGACAGAGUCUGACGCUGAGGCGCGAAAGCUAGGGGAGCAAACGGG